rnacentral:misc_RNA from 1 species
GAUGAAGAACGUAGCGAAAUGCGAUAAGUAAUGUGAAUUGCAGAAUUCAGUGAAUCAUCGAAUCUUUGAACGCAUCUUGCGCUCCUUGGUAUUCCUUGGAGCAUGCCUGUUUGAGUAUCAUGAGCAAAUCUCAAAGUCAAUUCCUUUUGUUGAUUCAAUUGGUUUUGCUUUGGACUUGGAGGCCUUGCAGAUUUCACAGUCUGCUCCUCUUAAAUGCAUUAGCUGGAUCUCAGUAAUUAUGCUUGGUUCCACUCGGCGUGAUAAGUAUCACUCGCUGAGGACACUGUUAAAAAGGUGGCCAGGAAAAUACUGAUUGAACCGCUUCUAACGGUCUAUUAAUUUAGACAAUUACCCUUAAGUUUGAUCUCAAAUCAGGUAGGACUACCCGCUGAACUUAAGCAUAUCAAUAAGCGGAGGA